GCAGCUCUGGGAGCCGGAGGGACGGGGCCGGGCGGCCGGCGGCCGCCGCGCUCGCCUGACCUGUGUGCCCCGCUGGCCGCGCCGGGCUGCCCCGAAGGAUGUCCGCCCAGUCCAAGGGGACCGCAUCCUCCUCCUCGUCGCCGUCCGAGGAGCCGCCGGCAGGCUCCAAAGCCAAGGUGAAGGAGCAGAUCAAGAUCAUCGUGGAGGAUUUGGAAUUAGUCCUGGGGGACCUGAAAGAUGUCGCCAAGGAACUUAAGGAGGUGGUUGACCAGAUUGACACGCUGACUUGUGAUCUGCAGCUGGAGGAUGAGAUGACAGACAGUUCCAAAACAGACACACUUAACAGCAGCUCCAGCAGCACAACAGCCUCCAGCUUGGAGAAGGUCAAGGUGCGGGGCAAUGCGCCCCUCAUCAAGCCACCUGCGCACCCCUCCGCCAUCCUCACCGUGCUGCGGAAGCCAAACCCGCCCCCUCCUCCGCCUCGACUGACGCCGGUCAAAUGUGAUGAGCCUCCGAGGCUGCCUCCUUUGGCCAACCCCGUCAAGACUAAUGGCACCCUGCUGCGGAACGGGGGCCUGCCUGCCGGGCCCGGACGCAUCCCAAACGGAGAUAUGUGCUGUAUACCGAACAGUAAUUUGGAGAAAGUCGUGAUGCAGCCUCUGAUGCACAGACCUGAGAAAGAGCGGUGUCCCCAGCCAGGAGGAAGGGAGCGGGUACGGUUCAGUGAAAAAGUGCAGUACCACGGCUACUGCCCCGACUGUGACGUUCGGUAUAACAUUAAAAACAGGGAAGUGCACUUGCACAGUGAGUCCGCCCGGGUUGCAGGAAAGCUGCCACACCAGUGCCCUCCUCUGCCGCCUCCACCACCUCCGUUGCCUCCAUUUCUUCUGGAAAAUGGAGGGUUGGGGAUAAGUCCCAGUAAUAGCUUUCCCCCUCCGAGACCUGCAAUUGUGCCUCCGCAAACCGCGCCAAAACCCCAGAAGACCAUCUUGAGGAAAUCAACCACUACAACAGUGUGAAGUAUGCCCCUUGUACUAACUCUUUGUUUUUUCCUAUAUAUAAACAUAAAUAGGUAAUGAGCACUUUCUACUUGAGCAAUAAAAAGACCCAAUGUAUUACACCCUGUGUCCAGUGAAGUGGCAUAAAAAUCACAUGAUGGAUUACAGAAGAAAAAAAAGGGCAAGCACUUCAAGUGGAUUUGAUCUGAAUCCCCAGUAGGGAUGGGAAUAGCACACAGGUUUUCCUUCCCUUGGAACCAGAUGGCUCAGGUAGAAAACAGUAUUACCAGUGGUUUGGAGUGUUAAUGAUGAUGAAUUUAAGAGCAAGUCUGGUCACAGGAGGAAAUGAAUUCUAGAAAAGAAAUGAACUUCAGAUAGUCCACUUCUGAGUUCUUAUGGAAAAGUCUGUUAGAGGAAAAACUUCUAGAAUUUCAGUUACUGAGAAAAUAGUUUAAAAUGAAGUAUUCAUUUUCAGCUGAGAGCUAGUUAAAAGUGACAUGUUAUCUGCCACCAGUGUGUGUCUCUAAUGAAGACAGAAAUGUGUGGUUUGUAGCCCAGAACAUCUUUCAGAGUCAUGGUCUAUUAUGUCACCAACUGUAUAAAAUACAGGCAUUUGGGAUAAGUACAAACCAAUUUCAGCCCAGUGGUUAUGAUCAAAACUGGAUAAUAAGGCUUAAAUAAAUAAAUUAAGUUAUCUGUUAAGAAAAUUCCUGUUAUGAAAAUGUGAAUGAUUAAGGUCAAACAUGAAGACAAAGGUUUUUUUUUUUGCAGUCUCUGCACUGGUGGUCACAAAUGAUAAUAUUUAAAGAUGACUACAAACAUGUUAGUAUGCUCAUGUAUUCUUUCUGGUAGUACGAAUCUUGUGUGAUCUACAAAUUCUUAUCUUCAGAUAUGUUGGUUGCAUUUCAGCUUGUUGAAAUUUGUAUUUUACAGGAAUCUCAUCAGUAAAAAGCAUGAUGUCUAGACAGAAAUAUGGUUACCAGAAAGUUUAAGGUGACUAAUGGCUUUUGUUGACACUCAAUCCAGGUAGAUGACUUAAGCAAACAUAAUAAUUUUACUAAUUGCUUUGAAGAGUAUUACAUUAUCUUCAUAUCACCUUUAAAAUGUAUCAAUGCAAUGAUUAGCUGUGCAUUCAAAAGGUUUUAUUGAAAUUAAGUAGGGAUGAAGAAAAAUAUACCCCUUAAUAGUACUCUGAAAUGUUACUAUUAAUCUCUGUAGGCUAGAUGAAGCUGUAGAAAGUAAGUUUAAAACAUUAAAAUUUUAAGUAGUGUGAGCAUUUCCUACCUAAUCUAACUGGGUUAGAUACUCACACUUUUCAAUCCUUUGGAGUUAUUUGCAUUUAGAUAUCCUAUAAAUAAAUUAUUAAAUAAGUUAUUUAGAAAGUUCUGGCCCGCUAUGUGAUUUCUACAGUGGGUAUGAAAUGGGACAGCUUUAUGAGUUUGAAAUACACCCUAAAGUAGUUAAUGAUGUAGAGACAUUAAAAUCUCAUCUUAGAUUUUAUGUUCAACCUAGGAUUCCUUGCUAAAACCUUCUUAAAAUUAAUGAAUAACUCCCCUGUGCAUUAGGAUUUGAGUAAUACUGUUUUAUGUAUUUUCUGUAAUAAUUAAUGCUGUGAGAUCUGACACCAGGGCCAAAUUGCAUUGUUACUGCUAAUUAGCCUUGUGUUUUAGAAAAGAAACAGGGAAAAAAACCCAGUGAGACUUGGAAAUACUAUUUCAAUGUAUUUUUAUAGGUAUGUUGGUUUUAAGUGUGAAAUGCAUAUAUAAAUUCCAUAUUCUAUAGGAAUGGUACUUGGACAUAGCAAUAUCUCUUGUUCUUUUCAUUAUUUAAAUUGAAGCAGGGCAUGUAAUUUAUCAAAGAGGAAAACAAACUAUUUUUAACUGUUUUAACUAAUUUUCUUCCACAAAUCUAUUUUUCCUUUGAGAUAGAACUGAGCCAUGAAAAACACUGUAAAUUCAUUGUAUUGUAAUGCUUGUGCUGUACAAAACAAUAGUGUUUUCAGCAUAGUGUUUUCUAAUAGAUCUUACAUGCUUAAGUAAAACAUGUUUCUCAGUGAAAAUCAGCUGCUGACCCCACAUAGGAUCAGCAUUGGCUGAGGAAUUCCUCAGGAGCUGCAGGAAGAAGCUAGAUGAUAGUCUCAAUGACUUUUCCAAAGAUCCAUGAGAACUCAUAACGAAGAGGAAACUAUGACAGAAAAUAGAGGUGAAUUUUGGGCUGUGUAAUGGUGACUGUUUUAAUUUUUUAAGUCAUUAGUGAUGUAAACUUGUAGGAAGAAGGUGCAUGCAUGUGAUAGGCAGGGAGCGUGCCCUCCUCACUGGAGCUUUGUGAGAACAAUCAAUGUGCAUUGAAGAGUGCAAGAGCAAAGGGCUGGGCAGCCAUGCAGAAAGCACAGUUUGUAUGGUUGACAAAUUGAAGAAAGGACCACUAGACUUGGAUGUCUAGCAAAAUAAAAAGAAAAAUUUCCAUUUGUUGGGAGAAAUUCAGUAUACUUUCAACAUUACCUAAAUUUACAUAAGUUUGCAUGACUGGAACAGUCCAUUCUGAGGUUAUCGCCUCCUUCAUGUGUGACAAGUUCAUAUGUAUGAUAUGUCAAUGAAGAGAAAAAUACCUAAGUUUAGACUAAGAAUUAGAAUGUUAGGAUCAUAAAUGCCUGUGGAAGUAUUAAAGUCCAGAGAGACAGAUAGGCCCAUUUGUACAUGAAUGUUUUAUAACAGUGUCACCCUUUAGGAAAAGGUCAGAAAUACUAGAGUGUCUUCUAGUCACUCAAAGCAGUCAUGUAACAGUAGCAGUAAGGGUCAAUGUGUUGAGAAGGUUUCAAGGCUAUGAGUGUACAUUUCCACAGAGAGGACAUUUGCAUUUUUUCAAGAAGAAAGUUCCACCUGUAUUAGACAAUGCCUUGAUAGUAGUAUUCCAGUAAAUACCAGAAGAAAUAAAAUGACUGCUAAUAAAACUACUACUCACUGUCAAGUCUGUGAAUUUUUAGGAUGGUGAUUUUCCCAAGUAAAAGCAUGUAUCAUACUGAAUUCAUGCACCUUGGUUGUGAGCCUGCCCUCACAGUAGAGACUUGCCAGGCAGGUGGCAUACAAGAGGAUGUUAGGGCAGGAGCACCAUGCCCAGCCAGCUGUUGUGUCUGCACCCAGUGGUGGUGGUGGUGCAGACACAGUCUGGGGGGCUGCAAAGAGGCAGUACCAGUCAUCCCUAUCUCUGCCGUGGGGCUAUGUCUGCAGCUCUUGUAGAUUAGCUUCUUGCUGUUGCAGAUCUCUCACCUGUGGUCCAGGCUGUACUGUCAGCCCAGGUGUAGGGCUUAUGUAGGUGGGGAGGUGUUCACCUAUUCUUAGGCAUCACCACAGUGAAGAGAGUGGAACAACCCAAAGAGAGGUGCAGUGUCCUUUCAUGUAGUUGCUGUGUUAUGGGCUGAUUUGAAAGGUGGAAAUCAAUCUGCACUAUAUCACAUGGAGCAUAAAUGAUUCAGCAUGAUACAGUUAAUACAAAUUUUACUUCCAUAUCUUCCAUCAAAACCCAUCAAUUUAUCACUGAUAAGGUAUGACAGAAGGAAUGAAAUAAAAAAAUCAAUUGUAAAAGCAUUAAGCAAUGAUUACUUCAGAUGAUUUUUAAAAUUAGUUUUUAAGUACCCAUGGAUUUUUUUAAGUACUGAAAGGUAUCCAAUAUUUUUAUGAAUAAGUGUAAUUUCUGAAUAUAAGCCAGAUUUUAAAUUUGCUAAGAAUAUGUCACCUUAGGGGACUUUUAAACAUAGUUUUUGUAAUUGCUGUAAAAUUAUAUAAGAAAUUUAAAUUUUUUUAACCAUCAUUGGCAUGCAAAUUGUUAUAGGAAUCAACAACAGGAAUUACAUUUUACUGAACACAGAAAAACAUAAAUAACCGCCUUGGAUUUUCCUUCUAAUUCCGUCUCAGUUAACAGGCCCUUGUUUCAAAAUUCUAUUAAACAAAGGGGUUUUAUCUGUUUAAUGUUGUGGCUUUCUGAGAGAACUUUCUGGUACUGUCUUGAUCAAGAUCAAGAGCAUAAUGAUCCUUCUGAAAAAGCUUUAUGUUACUUUUUUUCUGAUUGCCUAUUUUUUAAAGGGAAAAAUAAUUAUCUGAGAUAAUAUCAUCCAACUUAGUUUUUGUACUGCUACUAUUGGACUGCUGCAAUAAAAAUAAAAUUAUUACCAAUUGCUUCUGUACACAUAUUUAUAAAAUAAUUACUAUCUGAACAGCAGAAGACUUAUAUUUGAAUUAAAACUUCUAAAGCACAAUAUUCAUUUUAGCUGCUUCUGAUGCAUCCUUAUCAGUUAGUAGAGUGCUGAGCUAACUCUUAAACAGUUUGCAGUUUUUGAACUUUCUUAUUUAUGGGAGCUAUUUUUGGGGUAAAGGAAGGAGAAUAAUACAUGGAAAGAAUUAUUCACCUCUAAUCUCUGCUGUAGAAAAUCCUUGCAUACCAUAUAAUUCCCUUUUUUGACUAGUGUAUAAUUUGACUUCAGCCCACAGGCAAGAUAGAAUGUUCAGGUUUUUGGUUGCUAUCUGUAGCUCUACAGCAAUAUUUCUCUUGAAAUUAGAAACAUGAGAAAUAUAGUUAACACAGUACUGGUCUUAGAGUCCAAAGAAAAAGAGGUCAAAAAGUCAGAAAGAAAAAGAAAAAGUGUCAGUUCUAGUUUUCCAAUAUUUUCACCGUCUGAGAUGGCAUUGUUCUAUGUAAUGUAAGCCAGCAGGGCCAAAGGGUUUCUUUGUAUCCAUCCUUUUAGUUAUAACUCUAAGGAAAGCCAGUGAAUUUUGACUCACAGUGGAAGUAAACAUGGACUGUGCAUUUGUAUGGCCAGAAUGAAAAACUGAUAUCUGUCAUUCCUUUCAGCAUUUAGAUAUUCUAUCUGACACAAAUCCAACUGUUUUUCAUUCACUCAUAAAUAAAGCGUGGGACAGAUGUGCUAGGUUUACAAAUUGCUGGAGAAGGAGGUGGUUGUUAAGACUGCCUUUCUUUUGCCCUCUGUUGCUAGUGAUAAGAGAAAUCCAAAUUGACUUGCUUCCUCUGCCUGAGGCAUUUUGAACUCACAGCUUCCCUCUGUCUGAAGCAUGCUCUGUGUUUCUGUAUGUAGUGGUAUGGCUUCAGCUGCUCAUGGCUUCUCUGGGAUUUUGGUAAAGAAAGGUGCUGCAAAAGAAGAGAGAGAACUGAGAUGAUGGUUGGAUUUUGGAAAAGCAAUGUAAGUAUCAUGCUGAAAGGACAGAGUAUCCUAUUUUUCAUCUACUGUAUCCUAUGCCUGAAGGAUGGAGUGAAUUUCUCUUUUGCAACCUCCACAAACACACUGUCUUCAGUGUUUCCAGCAGUUACGUAUGCACUGCCAAGGGCACUCAUUCAGGGCAUCACCUCUAAAGCCUCCCCAUUACCCACAGUUUCCCCAUCAGGUCUCCUUCAGACCCUGAGCUGCUGCUUCUGCAAAUGUGGUCACCAACCAGGUCAUGCCUUGUGCCAGCUUUCCUGCUUUCUCAACAACCAUAAGCAACUAGCAAAAACCUCACCAUGUUCUGUCUUCAUGUUCUUCCUGCUCAGGUCCCACACCAGAAGCUGUCUUCUCACAAGCUACAAAGGAGGUGAAGUCUUUUGACUUUUUAUCUUCUCUCCCCCAUAUUCUCUUGUGGAUGAGUGGAGUUACCUGACACUCAUUGCAGCAACAAAGGCAGCUGAGUGUCUUUUCAACCAUUCUCUCCUGGAGUAAGUUUAGACAUCCCCUAAAAUAGUCUAAAGUUUGGUUCUCAAAGUAAAAUAACUUCACAGUUACCCUGAGACUUUUAAUAGAAGAUUUCAGAAGGAUGUAUCUAGCAAUUUACUGUUCAGCACACACUCUGUGUUGGUGGGAGGAGUGGUAAGACUUCACUCAAAAUGGAGUCUGGUGGUGUUGUGGAAAAAGGCUUUUCAGAAGUGAGCUGUCAGCUUGUCAUUUGUCCAUUAUAUAUUUUGCAGUUUUGAUAUGGUACAUGAAGAUUUUGUUACAUCAUCACUGAGCUUUCAGCUGACUUCUGAAUUACUGUUGUGAUAAGUGCUCACAUGCUAAGAUCUUCUUAUGUUUCUUCCUGGUUUUGUGUUUCCUUGUUUUCUUAUUGAAAAAUCACUAUGGCACAGGUAAAACAGUUUACAAAAGUAAAUUUAGCGUCUUUAGUUUCAGUGAUGCUUACAAAUUAAUGCCUUUUUUUUUAAUCUAAGGAAUGUAUUUAAAAAGUUCAGGAUUUCUUUGCAAGCAGUAACUAUAUCAUUCCAGUUAUUGAUACAGAUGAUUCAGGUUAUUAUCCAUAUUUGUGGCUAAAAAAUACAAGGAUUGGACAUAAAAGCAACCAUUCCAGUUUUCUUCACUUAAAAGAUACUUUAUUGCUCUUACUUAGAUGCUCUUUUAGACAUUAAUCAUUAAGAGUUGCUUAGAUAACUUUAGAAAGGGGAAGUGAUAGUGAGGAAUAAUAUAUUUUUCAGUAUUAAUUGCAGAAGAAAGUUUAAUCAGGCCAAAGCUACACGUUCUCUUCUUGAGCUUGCAGGAGAAACACCAAGCCAUUUUAUUUUCCAUUACUAUUUUAUUCAGGUAAGAAUUUCUAGUAAAUACUUCCCCUCUCCAUUGUGCUGUCCAAAACACAGUUCUUUGCGCAUGCACACACGCACACACACAAACACACAAAAACUAACAAAAAAUCCGAAAAACCAAACCCACUACCAAAACAAAACAGAGUGCAUUAUGACUGGAACAGUGGGGAUUGUCCAAAUUAUGGAUUCAGCAGUCCUUCCUUCCUCUUUUGCUCCUGUCACGUGAUGUGUAACACAUAUAACAGUGUUAUAUCACACCUACAUAAUGGAGUUCUGGAAGCUCAUUUCUAGGAUUACUCAAAAUAAAUUAAAAGGCAUAAUUCCGAAUGCCUAAGAAGAACAUAAAUAGUGAUAUUUCUGAUGAACUGCUAUUUCUGCCUUUUUGAUGUCUGUUGCAUAUGUUUUGUUGUGUUUGAAAUGGUGGGUAAGAAAGCUAAUCAGUACAUUUUAAGAGAGAUGCACAGGACCAUCUCUUGUUUUAUAUACAGGUAUUUGCAAGAGCUAUUGAAACAGAAGUUGACCCCUUAAAGGGAAAGUUUGCAUUGAAUCAUUGUGUAUUUGCAAAAGUUAUAAAGUCCUGUAUUUAUUUUUCCAAUCCUGAAAGCACAUAUGUUCUAGUAGAGUAAUCAAAAAUUAGAGCUUUUUCCAAGGUUAACGUUCCAGGAAAAUAUAUAGGCUUUCUAUAAGGAGACUUUCAAAUGUCUUCAAUGUAAAUGUCAUGCCAGGUUGAUUUCUUUCAUUGUUGCUGAAAGUACGAUGCAUACAAAGACACCAAAUAAUUUCCUGAUCUUUUUUCACCUUCCAAUCUGAAAAUAUAUUCAGUCUCUGUUGUAUUUUCUAUUCAGUUUCUUCCUGACACGAUGAUUUCCUUGGGAGCUCGAGAAAGUAACUUGUUAAGUCUUGGUAAAUUAAUGUGUAGAAGCUUUAGUUUUUUCCUUUCACAGUGCAGAAAGGCUCAAGCAGUUGAUGGAACCCUUUCUAUUCUGCCUUAUGCUGGAAAGGGGCUGUGUUUGGUGGGUGGGAAGUCUUCCAAUAGGCUGUUGAAGCAUGAGGACUGGUAGUAAACUCUAUCCAUUGGCCUCAGGGCCUCAACUGCAUUUAUAGAUUUCUGCCCAAGAUUCAGCUGUGAGCUGCUCAAUAAUUUCUAGUAGCUAAAAAUUCCUAACAACAAAGACAGAAGGUCCCAGUGUCCAGCAAUAUCACAGAAACCCCUUUUAAAGAAAAGAACUGAAUUUGAGUAUUUUGACUAACCAGAAUAAUAAUGAGUAGUAAUAAUAAUGAAUCAUUGCGAGCCUUUAGUCACAUUGGCAUGUUUAGGGAGAACAGGAAAAUGUAAUUUCAGUAAUCUCCGUAUAUCUACUGUCAGUGAAAUUAAUACUUUUCCUUCUGUGGCAAAAUAUUUGUUCCAAAUGAUAAAGGAAAAAGUAAACCCUGUAAAGCACAUGGUAAUGAACUGUGAGUGGUUAGCUAGAAUCACAAAUUAUUUCAUCCCUCAACAGGAAAACUGCAGAAAAACUGCAUCAAAGAAUUUAUGGACUUUUUCUGAUGUUUUUUAAGUCCUUUUGGCUCACAAAGUAGCCCUAAUCCUACAAGGCUGCUGGAUCAUUUGAGUAAUUUGAAACAAAUGAAAGAUCGGUAAAUGUCAAAAAAAAGGGCAGAAAUAUUGAUAGUUACAUUGUCUCGUACAUGUCUCUUUUCACCCAUAUAGUUAUUUUUUUAAAAAAGUAAGGAGAUGGAGGGCUGCCAGCUCACUUAUCCUCUAUCCUUCCUAGCUCCAGGCUAUGAAUGAGAAAAGGUUACACCUGUCAGCUGGAAGAUGUACUCUGGGGAGAAUGAUUUUCAAACCAUUCACAGGUCACUUUAAGACAUGUAAUUAUACAAAAACCUCUAAAAUCUAAAAAUUGAAAUGUAAAAGUUUUUAAAUAAUAGCAGAUGCAAGUCCUUUAAAGCACUUAACUAUUCUGUGUGAACUUUCAGUUGUAAUGAUUCUAAUGUCCCUUUCAUUGACUGAUAAAAGGUUUUUUCCUUUGUCAUGUAGAUUAUGCUGUAUACCAAAGUAAUUUAUUUUUAUUCAUUGAGUCUAGGUUCACAGAGAUUCGAAUUAUCAUUCUGUUUUCUGUUACAUAGUCAGCUCCAGGAACUGACUGUUUUAAAAGUAAGCCACAGGAAAUCUGAAUUUUUACAGAAAAAAUACAUGGGGUACGGGAUGCUGGUGUCUUCUCUCGCAUGUCAGACCUUCCGUCUUUUUUUACUUUCUGCCAAGAGCUGGAAGGCAAUGAUGGCAAGGUCCUCAGAUUAAUUAAAGAGGUAAUAGGUGCAGAACUGAUAAAACACUCCCCAGCACUAGAUACUGGAUGUGACAUACUUUGGUAGUAAUUGCAAAUGCAAACCUGUUUCAUCCUUGAUGGUUUUGUUUCAAUGUUUGCUUCCUCUGAUAUUGCACAUGUUAAACUAGAUAGACAGACUUUGUAACCAACUCCCCAAGUGUGUUACCAGCUAUAUUUCACUAAUCAUUCAAAUUAAAAUGAUGCAUACAUUACGGACUUAGCUGUCUUUUGCAUUGUUUUCUUUUACUGAUCUUUUUUAUACCUCUAGUUGACACAGAUAUGCAUUCAGACUAAUUAAGGAAAUCUGCUUUGACUCAGCAUGAAAAGGAGGGCAAAAAUAAGGGCAGAAAGAUGAAAAUAGUAUCCCAUAUUAGAUAGCUCUUAUGUAAAAUAAAUGCAGUGAGAAUGAAUUGGUGUGUUCCGUGGACCAUAGGAGAUUCCCUUGGAGCAUCUCAGAUACCCAGUCUUAAUUUGGGAAAGCAGCAGUAUGCUGCAGGUUUAGGUAGACAUUCAUCUGCAUCCCUGCAUACUCAGGGAAGGACACUGAAUAAACAAGUUCUUGUUCACCACUAGCAAUGUAGGGUUUAUUCAUUUCACAAGUGUAGCCAAACCUCAAAAAGCAUCAAAACUCUUUAUUUUUUGUUUUGUAGUGUUUUGACUUGUACGUUCAAUAUUUCAGAGUAUUUACUUCUGAAAAUAAGCAGAAAUUUAUAGAACUUGAAAAGGACAGAGUGAAAUAAAAUGCUAACUUGUAACAUGUUGAUUAAAAUUAUUGCUUGGAUCUCAAAAAAAAAACCAAAAAACUGCAACCGAAUCAGAAAUGCAGGCAAAUUUUCUUUUAUAGAGUGAAGUGCCUCAUAUGCAAGACUGGCUUUAUGGUUUGAUUAUUGUCUACUGAGCACAUGGUACAAAUUAUUUCAGUAACCCCCUCAUAAAGUAAAGCUCAAGUACUUUUCAUAUUAAAUGAAAUUAUAGCUAAACAAUUGAUAUCUCCUGUUGAAGAGCCACCCCCAGACAUUAAAGUGUUUGUCAGUUCACAUUAAUUUCCAUAUUAUCAUUAGGAUAUAUCUUCUAGGGAUGAAACUAAGCUGCAGUGUGACUGCUUCUGUAGAGAGAGACCCACUCAGUCUAAUUCUCACAUGGGUCGCUGCUGUUGCUACAACUGUAGUGGCCACUUGAGCCGUGGCUGUGGAUGUGGCCUUGCAAACUAACUGGUUGCAGUCUCCUGGAUAUUGCCCAAGAUCUGUCCUGCAUCUAGCCCAAAGGAGUGGAAGAAAGAGAGAAUUAAUAUAUCUAUAUGUACAUUCUAUGUAUACAAAUACAUAAGACACAUAAAUAAUGCAUAAAUAUACAUCUAAAUGUUUAUAUUUACAUAUCUGCAUAUAUAUUCUAUUACAACAGUUUAUAAGCAAGCAUUUAUGUGUAUUUAGACUUGCUUUUUAAGCAAGUCUACAUCAGAAGCCUGCAAGUCUGUCUGCAAAUGAAUAUUGGGACAAGCUAUAGCUUCUUACUUUGAAAUGAAAUGCAUAGAUCAAAUUUUAUACUCUAGUACAAAGAGAAAGCUGAUUUCAUCUUCUUGAUAAUUUCUUUCUUUUUCUCUUCAUGUUAGUUAAGUACAAGAUGAUUUUUUGAGAAAAUAAUUUUUGGGGAGCUGGUAAACGUAUCCGAGAGACAAAAUGAAUCAAAAGCACCCUCCCAGAAAUAUUUGUGAGUACUUUUCUCAUGAAAGAUGUAACAUAAGAUAUCAAAAAAAUCAUGAGAAAGUAAAUAAGCUUCCCAGGACUGUAUUCACACUUGACAUAACCAAUUCUACCUUAAAAAUAUGCGUUACAUUAUCACCAAAACAGAUUUCCGACACCUAAGGGACCAAAAAGGCAAAUCAAAAGAAUGUCCAGAAAAAUGACCUGGUCAAAAUGUUUCUAAAAUUUGAAAGUGGUAAACAGAAAGGUAUUGUCACUGCCAAAAGUAUGUCUGAGGAAUUUUAAAAAUGCUAGUUUAUAUAUGCUUUCUGUGCCUCCUGUACAUACUACUCAAAAUUCAUGUGUGCUUCUUUUAAGAGAUAUGGUUCUUCUGAUCAGUGAACAAAACUGCCAGGUGUUCCCAGGAUACAUCAUUAGGACUUUUUCCAGUGCCAUUCUUUUCCCUCUUAGCAUUUUUUUAGUUGGAGUUUCGACAUUUUUUGCAUUCAUCAUGGCAACCCCUAAUGUAAGCUAUUGACUCCUAUGAUGUCAAGAUACCUGGUACCUGUCACCUGGUAACUUUGGUUGCUUAGAUAUCAGCUAUAUUGGAAACUAGUGGAAUCAAACAAAAAAACCCCAAAAAAUAAAAGGGUUGAUUGCAUGUUGUAGGUCCUACAAAUUACUUCUCUCAAAUCUGAAUUGUCUGGGACCUGAUUGGGACAAGCACCACAUUAAUUUGGCCAGUAGUUCAUAAGUAAUAAACAGGAGGUUUUAUGAGUUUUAUAUAUUGAUAAGCACAUUGCAUCUGACAUUGACUGCGUGCGUCUCGCUAUAAAAAAUCACAGUAGCUCUCAGAGCCUAUGUUCUAGUGAUCUUAAUUUUGUUGUGCCAGCAGACAAAGAUAGUAAGCAUCUACAAAUAGAAUACUUAAGCAGUUUGAGUUCAGUUGGAUAACUGUAUUUAGUAAACAUUUUUAUCAUAUACUGUCUGACAUAAUUUACGGGUUCCUAUUCAGGGUUAUCUUUGUAGAACUAUGUAUGAGGAAAGCUCUGGAGAUAGCAAAACUAGCACGACAAAGAACUUUAUUAUCUCAUUGAGGAAGUGUUGCUAGAAGAGGCUAGUGAGAUCACAAGAAAACCAUUGUAGAAGUUAAUACAUUCUGUCAAUGCAUAAAUGUAUUGUAGUGUGUAAAGAAGAAAAGGAAAAUGUGUACAUUUAAUUUGUAAUGUGUAAAUAUUUUCAUUUUUCAUGCUAUUUUCAAUCUCUUCCAAAGCUUUGAAAGAUAAACUUCCCAUAAGCAACUAGGAUUUCUUGUUUGCUCCCUGGAAAAUAAAUUAUUUAUGGAUUGAAACAGUAGGAUGGGCAAUCACAUGUAAAUAAGUUUUCUGAAGCUUCUGAGGAAAAAAGUAGGAAUAAUUACAAAGAAGUGUGGUGGUGGAUUUGUUAACAUCCUGUGUUGUUUAGAUUUAAGUGUUUUAGUUUUUACAGAAAAAGAUGUCUCAACAGGUAUCAUGGUGGGGAUUUCUUGGACAAUAGAAACCAACAAAAAUCCCCAAAACUUUAGAGAAGCAUUUCCUUUACUUUUAGUAAUUCUUCUGUUGAGGGAAUUAGUAUAGUAAUUAUUCUUAUCCAAAAGAGCAAAAAGUUUAAGAUAAUAUAAAUAAAAUAGUCUAUGUCUGGAUCUUAACGUUUCUGUAUCUUUCAGGAAUAAGUAAAUAAUUUAUAUAACAGACAGCUUAACAGAUGCCAUUAGUAUUUAAAUAAUAUCUAGAAGAUAUCUGCACUGUGUUUAGGAAGACUUAUUACUAUAUGAUUUUUUGUAAUUUUUUUUUUCUGUAAGAACUUUUGUUGUACUCCUAAAUAUGUGAGUACAACUAAUGUCUUGGGAUGUGCUCUGACUUGCAGUGUACUUAAGGCAGGUAAUGUCCAAAUUAUAUUGUCUGGGCUAAAAUAGCCCAAAUAAUGAAGGUUUUAUUUAGGCUAGUCCUUCAGGUGCUUUUACCAGACUCUUAAAAUGAUGUGUAAAUUACAUGGCUUACUAUAAAUCCUGUAAAUCUCCCUUUCUCAGCUGAAGUGCAUUUCCUAGUUGUUUUCUCCUUUUUUCUUGAUAAAGGGCACUAGGCCCAGCAUAGAAACCCACACUAAAAGUAUUCCUUUCUGUGACCAUUGGCAUCAUCACUGCACAUACCAGUUCAAAGUCGAUGCUGUCUUCGCUAUAAUUUUCUUGGUGUCUUCCAGUCAUGCCACUGCAUUUAUUGGUCUUUAAAUAAAGACCAAUAAAUGCAGUGGUUUCUCUGUAUCUGAGAAUGGGGGUAGCCAUUUCAUAGGUCUGAGGCUGAAAGGAUGCUUCCCUCACUAGCCUUUUCCCUUAACAUUUUCCACCCACAGGGUUCUGCAUAGCAGUUUGUCCAGAGACAGUAUGGUCAUGGGCCAUGAUGAGAAGGAGGAUGUUGUUGUAGAUGGGAUAGAUUCACUCUCAGUUUUUAAGAAGACUGUGACAAACAGAACCAAGCAGAAGGACAUAGAUGGUUUUCAGUGAAAUUCCGUCCUACCCUUUGGCAAUCUUUAUCAGCUUAAAUCGUUCAAGUCCAUAAGAAAUAAGAGGAAAUGUGAAUGAGGGGCUAGAUUCACAAAACUAAUGGCAAAGAAGUGAUAUUCCUCUUCCUUGAAGUAUGUACCUCUGGGUGUAAACCACCAAAACUGGAUGAGGAAGUUGUUAUUCUUUUCCUCAGGAGGUGUGAAUUUAAUCCUUUAACCCAAAUUAUUGUCCCAGCUAUCAGCACCUUCAGGCUUGAAGGAAUGUCUAUAUUUGGAGGCACGUCAAUUAAUUCGCAUAUCAGAUCCAUCAUUGUGACUUCUUGCAGACCAGAUCUGAGAAGUAACCAGGAACCUGACCCUUAGUGGAGAAUGGAAAAACCCUUCAAGUCAGAGCACAACUGAUCACUAGUGUAAUCUGCAUUGAAUCAUCUUUCUCAGAUCUGGCAGCUACAAGCUGGGUCCUGGCAAAAGCCACAGCCUUAAAUUCCAUUCAGUGGGAAAGAAGGAUAAGAGAACUAAAUGUCUUGCCCCGUUGCAGAAACUGCUGUCUCCAAGCCUGACACCAGAGUUCUGUGCUGACCAACCAGAGUACCAAAUGAGUUUUUUAUGGGUACAGCCAGCAUCAACAAAUACUUCAAAAUGUAGCCAAAAGGAGAAACAAAGCACUUACGUAAUUUCAGAAAAUGAAUACAUUUAUUGUAACAGAGGAAUGUUACUGUCUGUGGGGAAGAACACCUCUGUCAUCCCUUGUAUAUAUUCAAAGCCAUACAGGAACAGGGCAUAAGUGAAGUUCAGUCACUUAAAAGGACGCUGUCUCCUGUCCUCCACCCAACUUUGAGGAAGUUCCGCUCUUAGAGAUUGCAUCUUGAUGCACUUCUAGUAUUUGCACUGUCACUUCCAUUCAGGGUAAUGAUGUGUGCCACCAUUUGCACAGAUGGCCCCAGGAGAUUUUUGACCAUAACAAGCUAUACUUUGCCAGGGCUCCAAAAGGAAUUAAAAAGUUAGAGCUGAAGAAAGACAGUUAUGCUCUCUUUCACUAUGGGGAUCUCUUCACAGAAAGGACUAUGGUCCUUUUUUAGGAUGAAAUAAAUACAUGCAUAUACAUACAUAUAUACAUAUGUAUAUAUAUGAAAAAGCAGAAACAUGAUAAGGUGUAUUUAAAAAGGGGAUACAAUCUUUUUUAAUAGCAUCCAUUUUUUUUUUUAUCAUAUUAGCAGCCAAGAAAUUUAGUCUAUUGAAUUAUACAUCAAAAAAUGUUCCUAUUGAACAUUGACAUUUAGUCCCAGUUACUGCUAAAGAAGUCAUUUGUAAUAUGUACUUGACAUAAAAUUUUUCUAGCCAUUUGUCUAUACUUCGUGGAGAAAUCUAGACAAGCAACAUUUUCAGUUUAUUUUUCUAAAUAAAUAUGUUGUUUGUAUUAUUUGCAGUCACUCAUUUUGGCUGGUUUUCAUUAUCUCCAAAAGUGAUUUAAAGACAGAACCAAAACACAGGAAUUGUUUGUUCUUUGUUAAGCUGUAAUGAUUUGCUGAAUGAAAGCUUUAAUAUAAAUACUGUAAUUUGUAAAAUGAUGAAGUAUAUUUAUAUAGGCAAAUAUGUAUGGAAAACAAAAGGAGGUAUUUUAACUCUUAAUUUCAGAACAUAGUUUAUUUUAAUAUCCACAGGAUGAAAUUAAAUAUAUAAUGGGAUAGGGUUUUUAUUAUCAGUAAGUUUUAGUAAGUGAAAAUUUGGAUGUUUAAGAAUGAAAUGAAUGUAGUCAAAUAAUGGUGGUUUCCCAAAUUAUACAGAGACCUUUUGCCACCUGUCUCAUUUUACUCAAAAACUGGUUUAGUCAUUUGGGGGGUUGGGUUUUUCUGGGGUGCGUGUGUGCUAAGGUUUUUGUUUGGUGUUUUGUUUGUUUUGGCAUACUGACAAGAUCUUGAAUUUGAUACUAUUUCUCUAAUUUGAAAAGCUACAGAAUAAUAGGUUGUUUCUUGGAACAAUCUACAGUUUACAGUUAAGAAUAGUCAUUGUUAUCCAUCUAAUGCAGUGUUUUGUUGUAGAGUUAUUGAACAUUUCAAUGCUAGAGCUGUUUUGAAUAAAAAUAUUUUUUCCUUUUUUCUCUUAGUCCAUUAGCCUAUGUGUAAUUUUAAGAGAAAACUAGUGCAUUUGGUUCCCACUUCACUUAAAUCAUUCAUCUUAAAUCCAGUUAUAUGUAUCUGAUUUAUAAAGUUGAGUAGGCUUUUCUUUCAGAUCAUUGCUUUAUGGAACUGUUUAAGUGCUCACUAACAGAAAAAUUACAUUUCAACAACAAAAAUUAAUAAAAAAAUUCUGUGGGUUAACUUUGUGAAGGGCAGAUAUCCUAAAAAUUUGUUGUUCUGCUCUAAUGUGCUAACAAGUGUUAUGCGUGUAUGUUCGUGUGUGUGUGCACGCAUGGCACCCUUACCUGCUCAUGAAUGAAAUGCCAACUCUGCUGAAGUAAGUGCCACAAGUCCUGUUACUGCAAAAGAUGCUCAUGUUACUGUAUUUCUUGGUGAAAGACCUGAGCUCUGUCUUUGCUUGUGACUCUGAAGCCAUAAACAGCUUUUGAAGUUUGUCAGGAAAUCGGAAAAUUAAAUAAGUUUAUGUUAGAUUCCCUCAUUUGGUAAAAAUAGCGAUGAUCUUAUGAUUUGACUCUUUUCAUGAAAGUUAGUGGUCAAUUUCCUUUGGUGCAAUGGAUAAAUGAAAACUUUGUAUUUGUUAAAGAAUGAUGGCUGUGUUUUGUUCACACACAAUUUAGCUUUUGGCUUAUAGUGUUCUUACUGUGAUGUCAUUUCUGUGUCAUUAGAAUAACUUAUUUGGACACACAACAGGCAUUGGCUUGGUUUUCCUCCCUUUUUGGAUAAACUGUUAUUUUAAAAUUGGAGAGCUUGUUCUUUGAGAGAAGUGUUCAGUUGUUUAAGGAAGGGACAACAUUAUUGAAACAAUUAGAAAAUUUCAGAAUGAUAAUUUGAACACUUUAAUUAUUGCCUAAUAAUAAUGCUUGGAAAAGCUCUUAUUUUUGUGAACAAAAUGCAUUCAUCUGUAUCUGAAAAUAGCCCAAUAAAAAUCCAGUGGAAUUAAUUGUUACUACUUGCAAAUACUUUUCUGCUAUGCUGAGUUCUAAAUCAGCUUGUGUGUAAAAAUUUUGUUGCACAAAACCCACCUGAAACAAUGCACAGUUUUCUUCAGAAAAAAUAUAUGACAUAUGAAAAAUAAUUACUUGGUCCCAGGAGUGGUUUUAUAUAAUGUGUGCAAUGCAAAAAUGAUGAACAGAUACCAACAUGUUGGCAUAAUUUAAGUGACAAAUGUAAUUGGAAGAUAACACUGCAAACCCUAGUUCUCAUCAAUCACAUGCUGUUAUUUGCACCUUUGCUUUACUGGGACUUCAUGCUGGAAAGUAAAUUUCAGUGUGUGUUCACACUCAUUCGAUGUCAUGUACCAUGCCUUAUUUUACUACCAGUGUCACUGGGAGAAAUCCACGUUGCUUGAUUUUUGUAGAUUUAAAUUAAAUCUUUAGAUAAGUGUUCAAUAUUGGAUAUAAAUUGAGAUGAUAUCUGUCUAUUGUGCAGAAACUCCCAUGACACAGCAUUUCAACACACAAUUUCAGAAAUUGUUGGCAAAUAAUUAACACUGAAAUGCUUUUUCAUAGUUUAAAACCAGAGAAAACAAUUGGAUUAUCUCAUUAAACAGCAAAAAAACUGUGUUAUUUCCAUUAUGUUCAUCCAAGCAUACUGACAGGACCAGCAGAAUUUUUUCAACUUACAGUGACGGAUGGGUCCUUUUGUAGGUUUAUGUGUCAUGCAUUUAAGAAGUGCCUACAGAAAUAGUUCUAGAGUAAUCCUGCAUUGUUUCAUUAGCUGGCAUCUGAAAAGCCACCUGAAGCGGCCAAUAGGCUUGAAAUGGUGAGGUGUGUGAAACAAAAUGCUGACAGUUCUGGACGUGUCUACAAGACAUGAUUUCAGCACUUGAAUUUUUAACAGACAAGGAUUACCAUCAUUCAUGAGGAAAAUAGGGGUAUUUUAAAAUAGCUCUUUUGUGGAGUGGAAGAAAAGGAUUACAAAAACCUGGUGAUCACCAGGAUCUUAUGAAAGUGUCCCUCUCCGGAUACGGUUGCCCCAAGUGCCACAUGUUGUGAGUAUCCCCAAGGGACAGAUUUUUUUCUCUGAUCAGUGAUGUGCUGGGUACAUAGCAAGGCAAUGAUGCUGUUAAUAAAACCUGACCACAAGAUAGUGGUCGGAUAUUGUCUAAGGAGGGGUGGAUGAAGGACAGCCAUCACUCUGCCCUGGAGCUCCCCUGAAGGCAGGAGGCUGUUACUGAGACUGGAUCUUAGAGAGAAAAUUAGAUUGGACAGAGUGACACAUACUUUGCAGUAAGAUUACUUAGAGGACUGCUGAGACUAAAUUAGUAAUUUUUGUGGACUGGACAGUUAAAAGAUGAGAGAGGAAGCAAAAGCCAGGUGGAUGUUGUUCAAAUUACUUCUCUCUCUAGAUUCAGUAUCCUUGCAGGGCUGCUAAGAAGCCAUGAAAUCUCCCCACAGCUGGGGUGAACUUCAGAAAGGACAAUUAUAAACAAGAGCUUCAGGAGAAUCUGGAAGGAAUACUAAGAGGGUCACUAAGAGGGUCAAGUCAUGGCAGAUGGCACAGAGACUAUUUAAGGUAUUAUUGAAGGCAGAGAACAAAUACAUUCUGCUUAGCUAGAAAGGCUUGAGAAAGGGUAAAAGGGAAACCACAUGGCUAAUCAGCAGGGUAUCAGGCUACUGAGGGCAAGACAUCCUUCAGAUUGAUGGAGAUUUUUAAAGAAAAUGUGAGGACUGUAAGCUUCUUAAGACUAAAUGUAAAUUAAAAAAAAACAAACAGCAAACCCACAUCAAGGUUAAUCAAAAUAAUUCCAAGAUACUUAAGAGAUUUCUCAACUGAAAUAGUUGAAAGAAACAAGAAUUAAGAAAUUCUGUUUCUACAAAAGAGCAGAGGCAAGUCUGAGAGACUGUCUGUACUGCUGAAAGAUAAUCAAGGAAAAGAGAAGCACUUAGAAGAAGCUAUAGGAACAAAAUUGUAAUGCUUUAAUUCUGCUUGUGCUGUAGAAGGACUUUUGUAGAUUCUGACGCCUUAAUUUUUGUGGGGGAGCUCAUAUGAAGUCAUGCUUUUUCAGUUCAAGGUGGUACAAAACAAAAUGAAGGGAUGUACACCUAAGUUUUUUAAAGACACUCAGGGAUGAAAUAGCCCAAUGGUAGCUGUGAUGCAUUCUUUAAAGCUAUUUUGAUAGCUUUUGAGAUGUGAGAUUAUGGCAACUAUGUUGCCAGUUUUAGAUUGAAAGAGUUUAGGCCAUUAAAUCAGUACUGGGCAAAAUGGUUCAAACCAUAAUAAAUACCUUUUUAAAAAGAACUAGAAUGCAUCUAACAGUGUCAAUAUUACCAAACACUGCAGGAAAGCGCACAGAUGGCUAAGAGAAAACACAGAGGAAACUGCAGCUGGCUAAGAGGAAAGUUCCUGCAUUCAUAAAAGAUUGUAAAAUAUUGGAGAAGAUACGAAUUUUUUGGUCAGUUUUCACAGGGUUACAGAGCCCAAGAGUGAAGUUCUAUGGGACAUAUACUGGGGUCCAUGUGUCUCAAAAUAUAUUUGAACAUGUGAAUAUGCUGGAAAAGUAGUGUAUCAUUAUUUGGUAAAUUUGGUGAUCAUACUAAGUUAUUAAAGGUGUUAAAUAGGA